UCCAGGUUCCGAGCUGUCAGCACAGAGCCCGAUGCGGGGCUCAAAUUCGUUAAUUGCAAGAUCUUGACCCGAGCCAAAGUCAGUCGCUCAGCGGACUGAGUCACCCAGGCAGCCCUGUGUUUUUCUAAAGGAAUAUUUCCUGUCUCCACUGAGGCUAUGAUGAUUUGCGGCACUGAAAAGAAACUGGUAACUAAACAUUCUGCUUUCAGUUUUCUUCUAGAAGUCUCUCCAGGUGAGCCACAUAAGUAUAGGAGGAGGUGGGGUGGGGAGGGGUCCAAAGUGCUCUUCUGUGUUCUGAGGUACAGUAGCGAGUUGAAAUAGACCCAUUAGAUCUUGGGGAAGAGGUCAAUAUUCUGAGGACAUCUACUGAAAGCGGUCUCGGGAGCGCUCAGAGGGAAGGGCUGAUUAAGUUCAUUUAAACAAAUGCCAUCUGUUAUUGAGCCUGCGUGUGCCCGCCAGGUCCUGCGGGAGCCACCCAGGACUAAAUGGCCCUGCCUACUGGGCACAUAUAGAUUUCCCAGGGAGCCUGUCCCUCCAUGUUGGAGUGGCUCCGCGCUGGGCUCUGGGCGGUCACCGGGCAGGGGCGCUCACCUGGGGAGCCCUUUGAUCCUCUGUCCUAGGAAAAGUUUUACAGCGUUUUGUUCUGAGUUAACCUUAGGCCAGGAAAUUAACACUGACGCGGUACAAUUAAUCAACCACAGAUCUUACUCAGAGUUUGCAAAUUAACCCACAGAUGUCCUUUUUCUGGUCCAGGAUCCUGCAUUUAACUCUUAUGCCCCCUUAGUUUCCUCCAGUCUGCAUCUCGAGGAAGUUUUAGUUCGUAGGUUUGGGGGAUUCCCUUUCUCAACAGCUUUACAAAUGCAGGCCCCCCUUCGGGGACCUCUGCUCCGGAAUAUAAUACCGAUACUGAUAAUAAUACUGUUUCUAGUAAUUCCUAGUAAUGGUGAACGUCUCUUAGGUGCUUCGUGUACGAGACACCGUUCAUCGUGUUACAUUUCGCAUCAUGUGAACCUCACAACGAGCCUGUGAGUUGGGUUCCGUUACCGUCCGAAUCUUUCAGCAGAGGAAGCGGGCACAGAGAACUUAGGCGACAGAGCAGCUAAGCAGCGGAGCCGGGAUUCAAACCCACGCAGGCGGGCUCCAGAAGCCCCGCGGGUCUGGAACCUCUGUGGUCGUACUUCCUCCGGGAGCCGAUGGUGGUUCUGUGAUUGCAGACUGCGGGGCGCUGCGACACGGCGGACGAGAUCCGGGACACAGGUAGUCAAAGCAGGGCUGUUACAGAGUUCUGUCCACAGAGGAGGAAGUCCUGUCCCCGGCUAGAGAAACUUCCCGGAGCAGGUGGCAAGUCAGCUCGUCCAAUACUCACAACCCCAAGUGAUGUCUGCCGGGAAGUGGGGACCUCCCAGGAGAGAGCUUCCUUGUUCCCCACAGGCUGAGUGCAGACGAGGCUGUGAGGCCAGAAGGGCAGGCCUGAGCAAGGCAUGUGAGGGGCCUCGAGUGCCGAGCAAAGGAUUGCAGUCUGCUCCCUGCGGGGAGGGGGAGAUCUGAGGCAGGGGAUUUCGCAAAGAUGUAAGUCGGCAGAGUGGAGGAUAGAUCUGGGCGGGGGGUCCCAGAUUACAUGCCCAGAUGUGAGCUGGAGGUCACGGUCAGAGCAGGCCAGGGAAGGAAAAGCACCUGCAGAGAGGAGGGGGUGGGUCGUCUUUGUUACACAGAAAGCCUGACCCGGAAAUACGAUAGCUUCUCAUGGGCAGGUCUUUGUCGACACGUGGUGUCCUAGUUUGGGCCCCUCAGAAGGGGACCAGAGAUGAGGGCUCUGAGGCGCAAAGCCGACCUGAGGAGCAGGAGGCCAGGGUUUAGUGAGGAGACGGGGGAGCAAAGCAGCCUCCUUUGUGAGCGUCCGGAGCUAAUCCCUGGCGAAGCUCAGAUGAUAAUGUAAAACAGGCUCCUUAGAAAAGACCGCCGACGGGGGAGGGGUCUGAAGUGCUUGUACGCGGACUCCUGUCUGUGACCGUUGAGGGCAGCUCCAGAGGGGUGUUAAUUCCAACCCCUGCCCGGCCCUUGAAGCAGAGAGAGACGUGCCCCCCAGGGGUCAGGGCCCCAGAGCAAUGGGUGGGGCCACGGGGCGUCCGCUAACAGGGCUUGGCGGAUCCAGGAGAGCGAGCGAAGCAAGACAGAUCCUUCAAAAUGGCAUAAAGUGACAUGUUUUCAUCAAAGCCACAGAAGUUUCACCUGUCAGCUUUCGAUGGUGGAGGACACGUACACAACGCUGACACCAGAAGUGUCACGAGGGUGGGAGGGCCUCGGGGAGGACCUGGGAUUUAGCCCAGGGCGAAGGACCGGCGCGUUCCAAGAGGCCCAGUGGCGUCCCUGCGGAAGGGUCUGUUUGGUGGGAGCAGUGCUGUGCGCGUGGAAAGGGAUGGCGUCAUGCCUGGAACAGAGGUGUCGGGAGGAGGGAGGCAGAUGCUCUGAUGACGUCCUCAGGGAGUCCCGCAGGGUCCUCUGUCCACAGGGAGCUCCGGGCUGAAGAGUGAAACGAUGUGUUCCUGAGCGGUGGGCACACGAGGUAGAGAGGGUAAGUGUGAGGGCCCAGAGUCAGGACCGUCCCCUCCAGCCAUGGGGAUCAGGGCAGGCUGCCGGGGAGCACUUGCGUUAGAUCCCGAGAAGCAAUUAGAUCCCCACCAAUCCCGGUGGGGUUGGGACAGGUGAAGAAAAGAGACUCGGAGCCAGAUACAGGGACAGAUUUUCUCCCCUGUGCUUGAAGAAGUGUAGACUUUAAUUGACAGCCAUGGAAGCCUGUUGAACUGGGACCGGCAGUGUCAGAGGACAGGUCGGCCAGGGGACUGCGGGGGGCAGGAGCUGGAAACAGUGAAAUUGAGAACAGGACGUAUGAUCCGGGGAGAUGAACCAGCCGGAUGGUGCGUGACGCCAGGCGAGCGGCUCACGUCCAAGCUCGUGCCCUUUUGUGGCUCAGAGCGAGGUCCAGGCUUUCCCGUUGAGGCAAAUUCGGUGGGGCUGGCCAACCUCGAACAUGUCUCACGGGUUAAUUAGCUUAGGUUUUCCUGCUCUUCCAAGAUUUCGCUCUCGCAGCCGUGGCUGCCUCGCUGCCAGCGGGAAGCCGUAGGCGGAUCCAAGACGGCCGGUGGGUGAAGCGCAUCGAAAUGCAUCCGUCCAAAAAUUCUACAAGUCUGUUACCAAGUGACAGUGUUUACUGCCGUGCAACAAAAGUUUGUUUCAAAUGACCUUGAAGGAAGUUGGACCGCCUCCCGUGUCAGCCACGAGCAGAUGGAAAUGUGUGCGCAGACGGCAAGAGAAGAAUUUAUUUUGAAAGCUCUUGAAAAAUCAUGUCUCCUACCAGUGUCAGAACACGUAUCAGUGUAAGAAGACACUCUUCUGGCACAAACAAUGAGAAUCUCAUUUUACUCCCGACAAACAAUAUUUGUUAUGAAACCAUAUGAAUGUGUGCUCUGUUUUCUCCAUAAAAUGGUGGAGAAUUUUUGUUUUAAUUUUAAACGUAGCAGUCGAAGAACAAGAAACCGGAGGUUUGCAAUUUGAGGUAGCCCUAACUACUCCCAUCGUGAUUAGAAAUGGAAAGAAAUGGAGUCUCCUGACGGGGAGAGCCCACAACAUCACCGUCGCGAGAUCUCUGUGGCCGCAUGCAUUUUCCCCCAAAGGCGCGGGGAUAUCUCUGCUUCUACGCGUGCUCCCAGAGCAUCACCACCGCCCCUCCCCCCCAACCCAGAGGUGGAGUCUGUUUUCCCUCCGCUUGAAAUUGGGCUGGGGGUCGGGGCUGGGUGGAAUUUGCACCUGCCUCAAUUUUAGACUGUGGUGGGAGAGGGACUCCAAGGUCAUGGAAGGUGGGAUGACUCCUAUCCGGCUCACUCUGUCUCUCAAGACCCUUGCCUUUGGGGCUCAGCCACAUGGGGAGGCCACGUGUCGCUGCUGUAGUGUUAGACUCGCUGACAGCCCAGCAUUAACCACCAAACACGUACAUGCACCCUCAGAGGAUUCCAGUCGCCAGCUCCAGACCAUCCUCACUGAAGCCGAGUAGAGCAGAGACCAGCUUCCUCCACCCGGCCUUGCCCGACUGCAGAGUGAAAUAAAUGUUGUUUUAGGACCCUGAGUUUUGGGGUAGUUUCUUAGGCAGCGAUAACUGGAAAAGUCCCCUAAAGCUGAAGCCUGGGGCAGAAGAGCGUGCAAACAGGAUGGCCGUGACUUCCAGGUGCCCGUUUGGAGCUCUUGACCACGAAGAGGCCGGGCAGCACGUAAGAAACUCAGAAGAAUUGCAAGGAUUUGUAGCAGUCCGGCCCACGAGGAACCUACGUGUGUCAGCAAGGUCAGGUUCAGUGCUGCAGGGGGAUCGCUUUCGCAGAAGCACAGGCGUGAGCCCAGAUGAGCACGCGCACAAGCAAGGCUCACAGUGUUACAGACGGGAUCGAAGAGCCUGCUGACAAAUAGCGAUUCGUAAGGAAGCCCGAGCCACGGCUCCUGGACCACGGGGGCAAAACCACCACCGAGCGUCUACCUCCCCUUCCCAGUGAGGACCACUCAGCCCAGCUCUUUCGCCAGUUUGCCCAUCGGUACAGAACUUCAGACACAUAUCACCAAAAUAGAUUCCACUUAUAAGAGAGAUCAUACAGUAUGUGUCUUUCUCUAGCUGACCUCUUUCGCUUAGUGUAAUGCCCUCAAGGUCCAUCUAUGAUGUUGCAGGUGAUGCGGGCUGGAUGCCAACUCUAAGAAGGUAGAAAAUUCUUACAGCGGAAAACCGGGUGUGUGUGUUGCUGACAAACUCUGAGGACCCACAGUGCGUUGCCUCAUAUAGAGAUUGUUUUUGUUUCCUGGAUCAUGAAUAGGCUCGAUGCCAAUCUCAAAGGCAAAUGUAUGUGGAGAUGUAAAGAAAUGGGCGAGUGGGGAGGGGGGCAAUUUAAAACACGACAGGGUCUCUCUCAGCAAAAUGAAUAAUAAAAUUUUGGAUUUGUCGUCCAACAAAAGUGGUAAUGCGGGCAGACGCCGAUGGAAGUGUGACCGUGGUGUUAAUGACCAUGGAUUGAAUGAAACAUUGCACUGUUCUCUUGUUGUGUGAAGUUGGGGGUGAGGGAAGGAAAUGCAUUUACGGACAGAGCAUCCCACGGAAAUGAAGGCAGUUCUGCCGUUUUGUGAUCUUGCCGCGGAGUUCGUUUGUCCUGACGCAGAGUUUUAUUCUCUUUCAUUCUAUUUUCUCUCUCACUCUUCCUUCCUCUCCCUUCCUGUUCUUUCUUUCCAUCUAUCCGGCCCUGGUUAAACACCUUGAUCUAUUCCUUGAUGCUGAAAAAUUAAUAGGUUAGGAAGAAGGCAUUUCGUACUACCGUCCACGUUCACAGCUGAUACACGGGCCACCGCAGCGGUGUUCACGGUAAUCGUAGACAGGAAGCUACCAGCCAGGAGCAUGGGUCAGACGUAGCGUCCCCACCCAGCAGAACGGAGAUGACCUAUAACUUCCUGCUACAAUGUGGGUGAACAUCACCUACACAACGUUCAGCCAGAGGAGCUGGACAAGAGAGAAUAUGCCAUAUGAACCAAUUUACAGACAUAGAGCGUAAAACCAGGCAAAACCCAACCCGUCCUGUUAAAAGCAAAGGCUGGGCUCAUCUUUACAGCUUUUAGUGACAAGGCAGGGAAGAGACCCCUUGGGUUCCUGUAAUCUUGCUUCUGGAUUUGGGUGUUGGAUCCACAGGUAGAAUCUGUUCGGUUUGUGAAAAACCUUUGAGCUUAGCGAUCCUUUUUUGCACGUAGCUUUUAUUUUAUUGUUUAUUUUAAAGAGAGCAUGGGCAGGGGAGAGGGGCAGAGAGAGAGAGAUUGAGAAUCCCAAGCAGGCUCCAUGCUCAACACAGAGCUUAUGUGAGGCUCGAUCCCAUGACUCUGAGAUCAUGACCUGAGCUGAAAUCAAGAGUUGGACACAACCAACGGAGCUACUCGGGCGCCCCAUGAAUGUAUAUUUUAAUAAAAGAUCCCCAGACUUCA